ACAUAUUCGAAGUUUUGUGACUUGUGGGUUUUCAGAGUUACUGUUUACCACACUUGUGAGUUUUACUUUAUUGAAGAAUGGAACAUUGCCUUAGAAGGGACACAUAGAGUGCUCAUCAGAAGUUCACUCACCAUGUUCUACCUGCUUAAGAUCUGUGUGGUUUUCCUUCUGAUUGUUGAAUACAGUCCCUGUUCUGCCUGUGGUCUGUAUCAGUAUGAAAAAAAUGGAACGUGUUGCACUAUGUGUACACCUGGCUCUUUUGUUUACACACACUGUACAAGAACAGAUAUCAUAGUGUGUGUUCAGUGUCCCAACUCUACUUUCACUGACAAACCACAUGGGCGUCAUAUCUGCAAUCCCUGUACGGCUUGUA